rnacentral:lncRNA from 1 species
UUACAGCUAGUUGAGUAGCUGGGAUUACAGGCGCCUGCCAUCACGCCUGGCUAAUUGUUUUGUAUUUUUAGUAGAGACGGGGUUUCACCAUGUUGGCCAGGCUGGUCUUUAACUCCUGUCCUCAAGUGAUCCACGCCCCUCGGCCUCCCAAAAUGCUGGGAUUACAAGCAUGAGCCAGCGCGCCCGGCCUUUUUUUUUUUUUUUUUUUAAAUGUACUCAGCACUAUUUUAGGUAGUGUGGCAAAACAGAUGAACAAUAAAAUAUGUUUCCUGCCCUCAAGGACUUUAUAUAUAAUGUAGGUAAGGACUUUAUAUAUAACAUAGGUAAUAUAAGCUAUCAGAGUGAAAUAAUGACAUAAAAAUACAAAGAAAAAUAAUAAGAGUACUUGCUGCUCUGAUGGAAGGCUCUCAGUAACCUCACUCUCUGGGUCCCGGUAGAAAACCAGGCAGCUGGAACAUCUACUUGUCUGCACACGAACCCUCAUUGAUCCUCACUGACUCCUAGUUGUACCCCAAUUGGAAUGAUUCUUGUUUACUAUCUAGUCCUAACAAACAGGGCUUUAUUAUUGGGCUUUCUACAAAUUAAAAACAGGAAUUUAAAAGAAUGAAAAAUUGCUUGGAGUGAGAGUAUUGAAAACUGAUUUUAAAAAAAGGCCACUAAUAGUGAGAAAGGGAAUAGAAAGCCUAUUACAGACACGACUCAGAAAGCAGAACAAGUUGGGGGUGCUGAGCAAAGGAGCAAGUGAGGUUUCCCCUCUCAGGCUCCCCUCUGACCAUGAUGUGGCCCUGUUUGAUGGCUGAUAGCCAUGUGCUGAGUUUAUCAUUAACAACAGGUUAAUAGCUUCAGUAUAUAUUUAAUUAGGCUGGACACUGUGACACAUUUGAGAAAUCUUUCUACUGAAAUUAGUUUAAAUAAAACCUUUUGGCAUGCAAAGGGAAUAAGCCUCAGUUAUCAGGACAAAUCACAGCAGAGACACCUCAUUUCCCAAUCAUCCUGGAUAAAUGAAGACUGACUCUCUGUCACUGAGCCUGCCGUUGUGUGGUACAGACCAUAUUUUCUAUAUUAUUAUAAAAUUAUCAUAAAAUGUGAUUUUUUGCAAUAUCAUACCCUUUAUGGUCAUUCUUAAGAAGGAAGUUAGUUAAAUUUCAAGCACGGUAACAGAAAGAGGUUCUAGACCAAAUGCCUUAUUAAAUAGAUAAGCUCAAAUGAAAGUAAAUGCACAUUUCAUGCAAGUCUUCUGUUUUAAUAUUUGAAUGUAGAAUUUCCCAAUGUUCUGGGAUAGUGCACAGCACAUGGAAAAGACCAUAACAGAAUAUCAUUGCCCACACAUAUUUGAAUUAUUUUUAAAAAACUGUGUGUGCGUAUCUAGAUUUUUAAUAAAAAAGAACCAUGAUAGUAACACUGAUUUCGGAAAAACUGGAAAGAUGGAGGGAACAGGAACUCAGGCUUAAGCCAUAGCACACUUUUCUUUUAUCGAUUCUCCAUUUGUUUUGUAGGAUUUCAACAGUGAAGGAGACCUGAGAAGACAUAAAAUCAAUCUCUCAAAUUGAAGUUGAAAAAAGCAAAUCAUCUCUCACACCCACCCUGAUUGGUAAUAAUUAACUUGGGAAUACUUCAGUUACUCUUUCAUUAAGCAGUUCUCCUAGAUAUCGAAUUUAUGUUAGUUUAUUUAUUGGAUUCAUCCUAAGCAUUCAAGGUACUUUUGAAGGAUAUGAGGCAAACUGUUAGCAUCAUUUAACAUUUAUUGAAUUAUAGCAUCCACAUAACUUAGAGCAGACACAAGACUUAAUGAGAAAAGCAAGACAUUAUUCCUGUUUUAUAGAGAGUAACCAAGGCCAACAGGUAGAAAGAAGACUUGCCCAAAGUCAGACAGAAAAUAUUGAGAGGAGAUUAGGACCCACUUAGGUUAUUUUUGGUAGAUUGCUCUUUUCACUUAUACAUAGCUGAGUUUGCCAGAAAAAUAAAUCUCAGGAAUAAAGAAAAUAUACUGAACAUGAACAGUUAAUUGAGAUGCUUAAGCGUAAACACAUGGAGGGGUGGUAGGUAAGCACUUGUGUUGACUCAGCCAUCAUUCUGUUUGUGUGUGCCAAUCAGUCUCUGCCAGUUGGUAUCAGUCAUUAUCCAAUGAGAGAAAUGAGAGCUAGGAAAAGGGGAGUGAGCCCCGAUUAUCUUUUAUAAGUAUAUAAAUUGAUGGCUAUGGUAGGAUUUUUCUCAAUGUGGAAACUCGAAGUUCUGUGCCUAAGUUUUAUUUCAAGAAACAUUUUGUUUGUGUCAAUAGAUCCAGAGCCAAUGGGUUCAUUUAAAACUCUCUUUUAUGAUGGCAAUGAAUAAAAGAGGAUCCUAGACCAUCAGAAGAUUUUAGCCUUGGAGCUCCCCACCCUCCUAACACACACAGAUAGAGCUGGCUCCAAACUCUGCUGCUUCCAUGGUCGUGGCUACCUACUACUCUGUUCCUACUUCAUCUUCACUGUGAUUUUUGUCCAUAUGUCAGACUGAAGCAGACUGCUUAGGACCUUGGGUUGAGGUAGGGGACGUCUUUCUUCAGGCUAGGCAUUUCAACUGAAGAGGAAAAAAAAGUAGGAAUAGGAAAUGAUGACUACUAGAGGUCAAUUGAUCUAUUAAAAACAAAAAUGAUUAUUUUUGACUCCUGAGUUCUGAAAAUGUAUUUGAGGGUUCUUCAACACA